rnacentral:rRNA from 1 species
UACGUAGGCAGCGAGCGUUGUUCGGAGUUACUGGGCGUAAAGGGUGUGUAGGCGGUUUUCUAAGUUUGGUGUGAAAUCUCCCGGCUCAACCGGGAGGGUGCGCCGAAAACUGGGAGACUAGAGUGCGGGAUGGGAGAGUAGAAUUCCUGGUGUAGCGGUGAAAUGCGUAGAUAUCAGGAGGAAUACCGGUGGUGUAGCCGGCUCUCUGGACCGCCACUGACGCUGAAACACGAAAGCGUGGGUAGCAAACAGG